AGAUUAAGUUAUUAAGGGCGCACGGUGGAUGCCUUGGCACUAGAAGCCGAAGAAGGACGUUACUAACGACGAUAUGCUUUGGGUAGCUGUAAGUAAGCGUUGAUCCAGAGAUUUCCGAAUGGGGGAACCCAACAUGAGUUAUGUCAUGUUAUCGACAUGUGAAUUCAUAGCAUGUCAGAAGGCAGACCCGGAGAACUGAAACAUCUUAGUACCCGGAGGAAGAGAAAGAAAAAUCGAUUCCCUGAGUAGCGGCGAGCGAAACGGGAAGAGCCCAAACCAACAAGCUUGCUUGUUGGGGUUGUAGGACACUCUAUACGGAGUUACAAAAGAACAUGUUAGACGAAUCAUCUGGAAAGAUGAAUCAAAGAAGGUAAUAAUCCUGUAGUCGAAAACAUAUUCUCUCUUGAGUGGAUCCUGAGUACGACGGAGCACGUGAAAUUCCGUCGGAAUCUAGGAGGACCAUCUCCUAAGGCUAAAUACUCUCUAGUGACCGAUAGUGAACCAGUACCGUGAGGGAAAGGUGAAAAGCACCCCGGAAGGGGAGUGAAAGAGAACUUGAAACCGUGUGCUUACAAGUAGUCAGAGCCCGUUUAUGGGUGAUGGCGUGCCUUUUGUAGAAUGAACCGGCGAGUUACGAUCUGAUGCAAGGUUAAGCAGCGAAUGUGGAGCCGUAGCGAAAGCGAGUCUGAAUAGGGCGUUGAGUAUUUGGUCGUAGACCCGAAACCAGGUGAUCUACCCUUGGUCAGGUUGAAGUUCAGGUAACACUGAAUGGAGGACCGAACCGACUUACGUUGAAAAGUGAGCGGAUGAACUGAGGGUAGCGGAGAAAUUCCAAUCGAACUUGGAGAUAGCUGGUUCUCUCCGAAAUAGCUUUAGGGCUAGCCUCAAGUGAUGAUUAUUGGAGGUAGAGCACUGUUUGGACGAGGGGCCCCUCUCGGGUUACCGAAUUCAGACAAACUCCGAAUGCCAAUCAAUUUAACUUGGGAGUCAGAACAUGGGUGAUAAGGUCCGUGUUCGAAAGGGAAACAGCCCAGACCACCAGCUAAGGUCCCAAAAUAUAUGUUAAGUGGAAAAGGAUGUGGCGUUGCCCAGACAACUAGGAUGUUGGCUUAGAAGCAGCCAUCAUUUAAAGAGUGCGUAAUAGCUCACUAGUCGAGUGACACUGCGCCGAAAAUGUACCGGGGCUAAACAUAUUACCGAAGCUGUGGAUUGUCCUUCGGACAAUGGUAGGAGAGCGUUCUAAGGGCGUUGAAGCAUGAUCGCAAGGACAUGUGGAGCGCUUAGAAGUGAGAAUGCCGGUGUGAGUAGCGAAAGACGGGUGAGAAUCCCGUCCACCGAUUGACUAAGGUUUCCAGAGGAAGGCUCGUCCGCUCUGGGUUAGUCGGGUCCUAAGCUGAGGCCGACAGGCGUAGGCGAUGGAUAACAGGUUGAUAUUCCUGUACCACCUAGUAUCGUUUUAAUCGAUGGGGGGACGCAGUAGGAUAGGCGAAGCUUGCUGUUGGAGUGCACGUCCAAGCAGUAAGGCUGAGUGUUAGGCAAAUCCGGCACUCGUUAGGCUGAGCUGUGAUGGGGAGAGGAAAUUGUUUCCUUGAGUCGUUGAUUUCACACUGCCGAGAAAAGCCUCUAGAUAGAUAACAGGUGCCCGUACCGCAAACCGACACAGGUAGUCAAGAUGAGAAUUCUAAGGUGAGCGAGCGAACUCUCGUUAAGGAACUCGGCAAAAUGACCCCGUAACUUCGGGAGAAGGGGUGCUCUUUAGGGUUCACGCCCAGAAGAGCCGCAGUGAAUAGGCCCAAGCGACUGUUUAUCAAAAACACAGGUCUCUGCUAAACCGUAAGGUGAUGUAUAGGGGCUGACGCCUGCCCGGUGCUGGAAGGUUAAGAGGAGUGGUUAGCUUCUGCGAAGCCACGAAUCGAAGCCCCAGUAAACGGCGGCCGUAACUAUAACGGUCCUAAGGUAGCGAAAUUCCUUGUCGGGUAAGUUCCGACCCGCACGAAAGGCGUAACGAUUUGGGCACUGUCUCAACGAGAGACUCGGUGAAAUCAUAGUACCUGUGAAGAUGCAGGUUACCCGCGACAGGACGGAAAGACCCCGUGGAGCUUUACUGUAGCCUGAUAUUGAAAUUCGGCACAGCUUGUACAGGAUAGGUAGGAGCCAUUGAAACGUGAGCGCUAGCUUACGUGGAGGCGUUGGUGGGAUACUACCCUAGCUGUGUUGGCUUUCUAACCCGCACCACUUAUCGUGGUGGGAGACAGUGUCAGGCGGGCAGUUUGACUGGGGCGGUCGCCUCCUAAAAGGUAACGGAGGCGCUCAAAGGUUCCCUCAGAAUGGUUGGAAAUCAUUCACAGAGUGUAAAGGCAUAAGGGAGCUUGACUGCGAGACCUACAAGUCGAGCAGGGUCGAAAGACGGACUUAGUGAUCCGGUGGUUCCGCAUGGAAGGGCCAUCGCUCAACGGAUAAAAGCUACCCCGGGGAUAACAGGCUUAUCUCCCCCAAGAGUUCACAUCGACGGGGAGGUUUGGCACCUCGAUGUCGGCUCAUCGCAUCCUGGGGCUGUAGUCGGUCCCAAGGGUUGGGCUGUUCGCCCAUUAAAGCGGUACGCGAGCUGGGUUCAGAACGUCGUGAGACAGUUCGGUCCCUAUCCGUCGUGGGCGUAGGAAAUUUGAGAGGAGCUGUCCUUAGUACGAGAGGACCGGGAUGGACAUACCUCUGGUGUACCAGUUGUCGUGCCAACGGCAUAGCUGGGUAGCUAUGUAUGGACGGGAUAAGUGCUGAAAGCAUCUAAGCAUGAAGCCCCCCUCAAGAUGAGAUUUCCCAACUUCGGUUAUAAGAUCCCUCGAAGAUGACGAGGUUAAUAGGUUCGAGGUGGAAGCGUGGUGACACGUGGAGCUGACGAAUACUAAUCGAUCGAAGACUUAAUCAAU
rnacentral:rRNA from 1 species